rfam:Nicotiana attenuata strain TT chromosome 7, whole genome shotgun sequence.
UCAUCAAAGAUGUAGAGCGAUCGGCUGUUAACCGAUUGGUCGUAGGUUCGAAUCCUACUUGGGGAG